UUAACUUAUUCUAUAUGACGCUCAGACAACACACGACUCGGGUUUUGUGGUCCUCUGGCAGGCACGGGCCAGCUUACCGUCGGCAGCCCCUGGGGGGGGGCAGGCCUGCCAAAGCAACAGUGGUACGGUAGUCAGGGGUGGGAGGUUGCCCGGAGGCAGCACUCGGUAAUGAUCCUUCCGCAGGUUCACCUACGGAAA
rnacentral:misc_RNA from 1 species